rnacentral:tRNA from 1 species
GGGGUUGUGGCUCAGUGGUAGAGCCCCCACCUGGCAUGUGUGGGGCCCUGGGUUCCAUCCUCAGCACCACA